rnacentral:rRNA from 1 species
CCUACGGGAGGCUGCAGUGGGGAAUAUUGGACAAUGGGGGCAACCCUGAUCCAGCCAUGCCGCGUGUGUGAAGAAGGCCCUCGGGUUGUAAAGCACUUUCAGUGAGGAAGAACGCCUGGUGGUUAAUACCCAUCAGGAAAGACAUCACUCACAGAAGAAGCACCGGCUAACUCCGUGCCAGCAGCCGCGGUAAUACGGAGGGUGCGAGCGUUAAUCGGAAUUACUGGGCGUAAAGCGCGCGUAGGUGGCUUGAUAAGCCGGUUGUGAAAGCCCCGGGCUCAACCUGGGAACGGCAUCCGGAACUGUCAAGCUAGAGUGCAGGAGAGGAAGGUAGAAUUCCCGGUGUAGCGGUGAAAUGCGUAGAGAUCGGGAGGAAUACCAGUGGCGAAGGCGGCCCUCUGGACUGACACUGACACUGAGGUGCGAAAGCGUGGGUAGCAAACAGGAUUAGAUACCCUUGUAGU